CCUGCUAACAGGCAGACACUGAGAGGUCAACGCAGGCAAAGGAAGGGGUCCUGGCUUCACCUCUGAGGCUAAAACCCUCUGGCGGGCGUGGUCACAACCAGUACAGGAAAUGGAAAGUACCUGGAUGGAGAAUCCACCAGGCAGCUGUGGGGACGAGAGCGGAGCAACCCUACUGCUGCCGGCUAGUCUGUCUAAACCAGAGCUGGAGAAAGGGCUUGGCUGACAGUCAGGCCCACAGUGCCAAGGAGAGCCCAGGUGGAUGGAACCAAGACAAAGGUACAGGAGCACAUGAGACCUGGACUCAAGCAGCGUGGGCCUGUAGGACAGCCAGCGACUGGCAGACAGGAACUUAUUGUAGAGUCCCUGUGUAGUAUUGGAACCAUCAGAAGAAGCCAAGAAACAGAAAUCCUGGGCUACUGGACCAUCAGUGGCAGAAAUAAGACCUCCAGAUUCUAUACCAACAAUCAUCUUAGCAAAUCCACUUCAAGCAAUCAUCCAAGCAAAUCUGUUUCCGUG
rnacentral:lncRNA from 1 species